AGCAGUGUAGUUUAGUGGCCAGAGCACAGGCUUGAGAGUCAGAAGACCUGGGUUCUAAUUCCCAGCUCUGCCA
rnacentral:tRNA from 1 species